rnacentral:rRNA from 1 species
GAGAAGCACUUCGGUGUGAGUAGAGCGGCGGACGGGUGAGUAACGCGUAGGAAUCUACCCAGUAGUGGGGGACAACAGUUGGAAACAGCUGCUAAUACCGCAUACGCCCUAUGGGGGAAAGCGGGGGAUCUUCGGACCUCGCGCUAUUGGAUGAGCCUGCGUCGGAUUAGCUUGUUGGUGGGGUAAAAGCCUACCAAGGCGACGAUCCGUAGCUGGUCUGAGAGGAUGAUCAGCCACACUGGAACUGAGACACGGUCCAGACUCCUACGGGAGGCAGCAGUGGGGAAUAUUGCGCAAUGGGCGAAAGCCUGACGCAGCCAUGCCGCGUGUGUGAAGAAGGCCUUAGGGUUGUAAAGCACUUUCAAUAGAGAGGAAAAGCUUGUCGUUAAUACCGGCAAGCCCUGACGUUACCUAUAGAAGAAGCACCGGCUAACUCCGUGCCAGCAGCCGCGGUAAUACGGAGGGUGCGAGCGUUAAUCGGAAUUACUGGGCGUAAAGCGCGCGUAGGCGGUUUGUUAAGUCGGAUGUGAAAUCCCCGGGCUCAACCUGGGAACUGCACCCGAUACUGGCCGACUAGAGUACGAGAGAGGGAGGUAGAAUUCCACGUGUAGCGGUGAAAUGCGUAGAUAUGUGGAGGAAUACCAGUGGCGAAGGCGGCCUCCUGGCUCGAUACUGACGCUGAGGUGCGAAAGCGUGGGGGAGCAAACAGGAUUAGAUACCCUGGUAGUCCACGCCGUAAACGAUGUCUACUAGCCGUUGGGAGACUUGAUUUCCUAGUGGCGCAGCUAACGCACUAAGUAGACCGCCUGGGGAGUACGGCCGCAAGGU